rnacentral:rRNA from 1 species
CCAAUCGAACUCGGAGAUAGCUGGUUCUCCCCGAAAUAGCUUUAGGGCUAGCCUCGAUUUAGAUUACCGGGGGUAGAGCACUGAAUGGGCUAGGGGGCCACAAAGCUUACCGAACCCUAUCAAACUUCGAAUACCGGAUAAUUGAUGAUCGGGAGUCAGACAGUGUGAGAUAAGUUUCAUUGUCGAAAGGGAAACAGCCCAGAUCUACGACUAAGGUCCCAAAGUUCAAGUUAAGUGGAAAAGGAUGUGCAAUUGCGUAGACAACCAGGAUGUUGGCUUAGUAGCAGCCAUUCAUUCAAAGAGUGCGUAAUAGCUCACUGGUCGAGUGAUUGUGCGCCGAAAAUGUAACGGGGCUAAACUUGACACCGAAGUCUAGGCAGAAGGAAACUUCUGGGUAGGGGAGCAACGUGUACGGGCAGAAGCAGAAGCGGAAGCGACUGUGGACUGUACAGGAGAGAGAAUGCCGGCAUGAGUAGCGAGAGCAAAGUGAGAAUCUUUGCCGUCGAAAGCCUAAGGUUUCCUGAGGAAGGCUCGUCCUCUCAGGGUAAGUCGGGACCUAAGCCGAGGACAAUAGUCGUAGGCGAUGGACAAUCGGUUAAUAUUCCGAUACCGCCGAGCAACCGGAUGCAGUGACACAGAAGGAUAGGCAGAGCGUGGCGAUGGUAGACCACGUCCAAGCAGUGAGGCUGUUGUGUAGUGAAGUACGCACAACGGAAGGCUGGGCUGUGAUGGGGAACGAUUACGAUCGGUAAGCUGCUGAAUUCACGCUGGCGAGAAAAGCUGCUACGAAGCGAAGGCGCCCGUACCGCAAACCGACACAGGUAGGCGAGGAGAGAAUCCUAAGACGAGCGGGAGAACCCUUGUUAAGGAACUCGGCAAAAUGACUCCGUAACUUAGGGAGAAGGAGUGCCCAGGAAUGGGCCGCAGAGAAUAGACCCAAGCGACUGUUUACCAAAAACACAGGUCUGUGCGAAGUAGAGAUACGACGUAUACGGGCUGACACCUGCCCAGUGCCGGAAGGUUAAGGGGAAAUGUUAGGGCAACCGAAGCAUGGAACUUAAGCCCCGGUGAACGGCGGCCGUAACUAUAACGGUCCUAAGGUAGCGAAAUUCCUUGUCGGGUAAGUUCCGACCCGCAUGAAAGGCGUAAUGAUUUGGGCACUGUCUCAACGAGGGGCCCGGUGAAAUUGAAAUACCUGUGAAGAUGCAGGUUACCCGCGACUGGACAGAAAGACCCCAUGGAGCUUCACUGCAGCUUGAGAUUGAAUCCCGGUGACAUAUGCACAGGAUAGGUGGGAGGCGUUGAAGUAAUGCCUUUGGGUGUUACAGAGCCGAUGUUGGGAUACCACCCUUAUGUUGCUGAGAUUCUAACACGGAGACUAACAACCUCGUGGACCAUCUCAGGCAGGCGGUUUGACUGGGGCGGUCGCCUCCUAAAAUGUAACGGAGGCGCCCAAAGGUUCCCUCAGGCCGGACAGAAACCGGCCGAAGAGUGCAAAGGCAGAAGGGAGCUUGACUGCGAGACAGACAAGUCGAGCAGAGACGAAAGUCGGGCUUAGUGAUCCGGUGGUACUGAGUGGAAAGGCCAUCGCUCAACGGAUAAAAGCUACCCUGGGGAUAACAGGCUAAUCUCUCCCAAGAGUUCAUAUCGACGGGGAGGUUUGGCACCUCGAUGUCGGCUCAUCACAUCCUGGAGCUGGAGUAGGUUCCAAGGGUUGGGCUGUUCGCCCAUUAAAGUGGUACGCGAGCUGGGUUCAAAACGUCGUGAGACAGUUUGGUUCAUAUCCAUCGCGGGCGCAAGAAGUUUGAGGGAGGCUGCUCCUAGUACGAGAGGACCGGAGUGGACGGAUCAACGGUGUACCAGUUGUCACGCCAGUGGCACGGCUGGAAAGCCGCAUCCGGAAAGGAUAAACGCUGAAAGCAUCUAAGCGUGAAGCCCGUCCCGAGAUGAGACUUCUCAUCAGCAAUGAGUAAGACCCCUUAAAGACGAUGAGGUUGAUAGGCUGUGAGUGGAAGUGGCGCAAGUCAUGGAGCGACGCAGUACUAAUAGGUCGAGGUCUUAGCUUA